rnacentral:rRNA from 1 species
CCUACGGGUGGCAGCAGUGAGGAAUAUUGGUCAAUGGACGAGAGUCUGAACCAGCCAAGUAGCGUGAAGGAUGACUGCCCUAUGGGUUGUAAACUUCUUUUAUAUGGGAAUAAAAUGUUCCACGUGUGGGAUUUUGUAUGUACCAUAUGAAUAAGGAUCGGCUAACUCCGUGCCAGCAGCCGCGGUAAUACGGAGGAUCCGAGCGUUAUCCGGAUUUAUUGGGGUUAAAGGGAGCGUAGGUGGAUUGUUAAGUCAGGUGUGAAAGUUUGCGGCUCAACCGUAAAAUUGCAGUUGAAACUGGCAGUCUUGAGUACAGGAGAGGUGAGCGGAAUUCGUGGUGUAGCGGUGAAAUGCUUAGAUAUCGCGAAGAACUCCGAUUGCGAAGGCAGUUCACUGGACUGCAACUGACACUGAGGCUCGAAAGUGUGGGUAUCAAACAGGAUUAGAUACCCUUGUAGUC